GACGAACGCUGGCGGCGUGCUUAACACAUGCAAGUCGAACGAUGAACCCGGAGCUUGCUCCGGUGGAUUAGUGGCGAACGGGUGAGUAACACGUGAGUAACCUGCCCUUGACUCUGGGAUAACUGCGGGAAACUGUAGCUAAUACCGGAUACGACCUUCGGCGGCAUCGCCAGGGGGUGGAAAGAAUUUCGGUCAAGGAUGGACUCGCGGCCUAUCAGCUAGUUGGUGAGGUAACGGCUCACCAAGGCGACGACGGGUAGCCGGCCUGAGAGGGUGACCGGCCACACUGGGACUGAGACACGGCCCAGACUCCUACGGGAGGCAGCAGUAGGGAAUAUUGGACAAUGGCUGAAAAGCUGAUCCAGCCAUCCCGCGUGAAGGUAGAAGGUCCUAUGGAUUGUAAACUUCUUUUCUCUGGGAAGAAAAAGCUUGAUUCAUCAAGCCCUGACGGUACCAGAGGAAUAAGCACCGGCUAACUCCGUGCCAGCAGCCGCCGCAG
rnacentral:rRNA from 1 species